GUACUUUCAUGUCAACCUAAACCACUAAUUUUGAAGUUUAUUAUUUAACAUAAAUGAAAUAAUAUGGACUUGGUCGCACGCUUUAAAAAUGGGCAUACAAUCUACAUAUAUAUAUAUAUAUUAUAUAUGUAUAUGUGUGUGUGUGUGUAUGUACAUAUAUGUUUACAGGUAGAGCAGUAGGUAGAUAUUGGUAGGUAGUAGCCAUGUCUCGCCACAGACGCCAAGCCUCCCGAGUCCUGCCGCCGGACCUACUGGGGUUGGAGGAUCCGCCGCCACCGAGACCACCGGCAGAGAGCAGCCAAGAAACAGCCGGUGGGGCUGGUGCAGCGUCCACCUCGGCCGCUCUCAGAACUCAUCAGCCACCAGCUAGCAAUCCAGGCGGCAGCAGCACCACCCAGCCGUUGGCUCCUCAUUUUGGGGCAGCUCCUCCGGAGAAGUUGCCUCCUGCAAGCAAAGCUUCUUGACGAUGAAAUCAGAAGACCGAUUAGAUCUCGUCAUGGGAGAUUAUUUCAUGGUCCGUCCGGCGUCGUUUUGUCUUGAAGUAGUUGCCGGAAGUUUUAGUUUAGUUGCAGGUUGGCGUAAUUUCCUCCAAGUAAUUCCAGUACUUCACUUUUUCUAAUUCUACUAUGCGUUUUGUUCAGUUUUUUGGUUCAGUUUUUGCGUUUUGUUGCAGUAGUCGUCUUCUUCCUCAAUAAAUUAACGUUUGAUCUCUUUCUACAAAUUAACACCGGUAGAACUCCGUCAUUAUUAUUAUUGUUUUUAUACACACACACACGAUUACAUUCAUAACAAAGUUUCUCUUUCCGUGGAGCAUGUAUAUUAUUUAUACAUACAAACAUAGAAUUUAUGUUCAAGGCUCCAUUCUUUUUACAUUCAAGGUUACAGGCGAUCUGGAAUCCCAUACAUAUGUACACACAUACAUAUACAAAUAUAUAUAUAUAUGUAUGUAUGUGUGUAAGAAACAUACAUGAAAAAAGUGACUCGAUUGAUGGGAUUUGAAAGACUGCGAUGAUAUGUUCAUCCGUCUUAAUAUUUUUUUAUUUUUAAAUGAAAUUUUAUUAAUUAGGUUAAUUUUUUAAAUGAAUUUUAAUAAUAAUUUUCUUCCCUUGUUAUUUUUAAGUACUUUUUUUUAG
rnacentral:lncRNA from 1 species